rnacentral:rRNA from 1 species
CUACGUGCCAGCAGCCGCGGUAAUACGGAAGGUCCAGGCGUUAUCCGGAUUUAUUGGGUUUAAAGGGAGCGUAGGCCGUGGAUUAAGCGUGUUGUGAAAUGUAGACGCUCAACGUCUGAAUUGCAGCGCGAACUGGUUCACUUGAGUAUGCACAACGUAGGCGGAAUUCGUCGUGUAGCGGUGAAAUGCGUAGAUAUUAGGAAGAACACCGGUGGCGAAGGCGGCCUGCUGGACCAAAACUGACGCUGAGGCUCGAAAGCGUGGGUAGCAAACAGGAUUAGAUACCCUGGUAGUCCACGCUGUAAACGAUGAAUACUAGGUGCUGGGAGGCAUAAGCCUUUCGGUGCCGUCGCAAACGCAUUAAGUAUUCCACCUGGGGAGUACGUUCGCAAGAAUGAAACUCAAAGGAAUUGAUGGGGACCCGCACAAGCGGUGGAGCAUGUGGUUUAAUUCGACGCAACGCGAAGAACCUUACCCGGUCUUGAGAUCC